UCAUAAGCAUGAAGAAUUGUAGUUCAUAAGUUGAUUAAGUCAUUGACUUAUGAGAAUAAGUCAAAACCUAAUUUGAUUAUAAGUUGGUGUAAUAAGUAACUUGUGAUGAUCAUAUGUUGGUUGAAAUCCAUUUAGAAUCAUUAAGAAUGUAGUUUUGCCGGAAUUCACACGAUUGGACGAUUAUCGUCGAAUUCGUGAAAUUCUAGGAAUGGAAGUCGUAUUUUGUGUUUGAAGUCGAAAACGUUGGUUUUCGAUGGAGACAAGUCAUAUUUGGCAUUAUAGAGUUGCAGACUCAAAAAUGACCGAAUUUCGACUUAGAACGAAGAAACGAGCGUUGAACGUUCACGAACGUUUAUCGUUUUCGUUAAAAAUGAACUCAUAGGUGAAAUUUUAGCAAAUGAAGUCAAAUAGAUAAAAUUCUUGCAUGAACCAUAGAGUAUGAAAUUUGUGAACCGUAAGCUUUUGAACAGACCAAUUCGGACUUAUAACGAAGAAG
rnacentral:lncRNA from 1 species